rnacentral:rRNA from 1 species
UGCAGUCGAACGCAGUCGACCUUCGGGUCAUAUGACUGAGUGGCGGACGGGUGAGUAACACGUAGGUUACCUGCCCUCUGGUGGGGGACAACCCAGGGAAACUUGGGCUAAUACCGCAUAUGGUCUACGGAUCAAAGUCUUCGGACGCCAGAGGAUGGACCUGCGUCCCAUUAUUUAAUCCUAGUUGGUGAGGUAACGGCUCACCAAGGGUACGAUGGGUAGCUGGUUUGAGAGGAUGAUCAGCCACACUGGGACUGAGACACGGCCCAGACUCCUACGGGAGGCAGCAGUGGGGAAUAUUGCGCAAUGGGCGAAAGCCUGACGCAGCUACGCCGCGUGAGUGAUGACGGCCUUCGGGUUGUAAAGCUCUGUCGGGAGGGAAGAAUAAAUGACGGUACCUCCCAAGAAAGCGCCGGCUAACUCCGUGCCAGCAGCCGCGGUAAUACGGAGGGCGCAAGCGUUGCUCGGAAUCACUGGGCGUAAAGCGAACGCAGGCGGCGCAACAAGUCGGAUGUGAAAGCCCGGGGCUCAACCCCGGAACUGCAUUCGAAACUGUUGUGCUUGAAUACGGGAGAGGGGAGUAGAAUUCCUGGUGUAGAGGUGAAAUUCGUAGAUAUCAGGAAGAAUACCAGUGGCGAAAGCGGCUCCCUGGCCCGAUAUUGACGCUCAUGUUCGAAAGCGUGGGUAGCAAACAGGAUUA